rnacentral:rRNA from 1 species
UACGGAGGGGGCUAGCGUUGUUCGGAAUUACUGGGCGUAAAGCGCACGUAGGCGGCUUUGUAAGUUAGAGGUGAAAGCCCAGAGCUCAACUCUGGAACUGCCUUUAAGACUGCAUCGCUUGAAUUGUGGAGAGGUAAGUGGAAUUCCGAGUGUAGAGGUGAAAUUCGUAGAUAUUGGGAAGAACACCAGUGGCGAAGGCGGCUACCUGGCUUGGAACUGGACGCU